rnacentral:pre_miRNA from 1 species
UGACUUUUUUCCUAGUCAAACUUCUUUUAAGUUUGACCAAAUUUAUAGAAAAGUAUAGCAACAUUUUGAACACAAAACAAACAUAUUAUCAAAAUAUAUUCAAUGUUAGACUUAAUGAAACUAAUUUGGUGUUUUAGAUGUUGCUAAAUUUUUCUAUAAAUUUGGUCAAGCUUAACAAAGUUUAACUAGGAAAAAAGUCAA